rnacentral:rRNA from 1 species
GCAUAUCAAUAAGCGGAGGAAAAGAAACCAACCGGGAUUGCCUUAGUAACGGCGAGUGAAGCGGCAAAAGCUCAAAUUUGAAAUCUGGUACCUUCGGUGCCCGAGUUGUAAUUUGGAGAGGGCAACUUUGGGGCCGUUCCUUGUCUAUGUUCCUUGGAACAGGACGUCAUAGAGGGUGAGAAUCCCGUGUGGCGAGGAGUGCGGUUCUUUGUAAAGUGCCUUCGAAGAGUCGAGUUGUUUGGGAAUGCAGCUCUAAGUGGGUGGUAAAUUCCAUCUAAAGCUAAAUAUUGGCGAGAGACCGAUAGCGAACAAGUACAGUGAUGGAAAGAUGAAAAGAACUUUGAAAAGAGAGUGAAAAAGUACGUGAAAUUGUUGAAAGGGAAGGGCAUUUGAUCAGACAUGGUGUUUUGUGCCCUCUGCUCCUUGUGGGUAGGGGAAUCUCGCAUUUCACUGGGCCAGCAUCAGUUUUGGUGGCAGGAUAAAUCCAUAGGAAUGUAGCUUGCCUCGGUAAGUAUUAUAGCCUGUGGGAAUACUGCCAGCUGGGACUGAGGACUGCGACGUAAGUCAAGGAU